GCUAUUUUAAUACAAAGUGGUUACAGUAAAAGAAAAGCUAUGAUGCUUCAGCUUAGUACUGCAGUAGGUGCUUUAUUAGGAACUUGUGUAUCAUUGCUUGCAGAAGGCAUGGGUGAUCUUGCAACUAUGUGGAUUCUUCCAUUCACAGCAGGUGGAUUUAUUUAU